GCAGUGUACCCGCGGCAAGACGGAAAGACCCCGUGAACCUUUACUAUAGCUUGACACUGAACAUUGAGCCUUGAUGUGUAGGAUAGGUGGGAGGCUUUGAAGCGUGGACGCCAGUCUGCGUGGAGCCGACCUUGAAAUACCACCCUUUAAUGUUUGAUGUUCUAACGUUGGCCCCUGACCGGGGUUGCGGACAGUGUCUGGUGGGUAGUUUGACUGGGGCGGUCUCCUCCCAAAGCGUAACGGAGGAGCACGAAGGUUAGCUAAUCCUGGUCGGACAUCAGGAGGUUAGUGCAAUGGCAUAAGC
rnacentral:rRNA from 1 species